rnacentral:rRNA from 1 species
CAGCAGCCGCGGUAAUACGUAGGUGGCAAGCGUUGUCCGGGAUUAUUGGGCGUAAAGCGCGCGCAGGCGGAUAGGUCAGUCUGUCUUAAAAGUUCGGGGCUUAACCCCGUGAUGGGAUGGAAACUGCCAAUCUAGAGUAUCGGAGAGGAAAGUGGAAUUCCUAGUGUAGCGGUGAAAUGCGUAGAUAUUAGGAAGAACACCAGUGGCGAAGGCGACUUUCUGGACUGUAACUGACGCUGAGGCUCGAAAGCCAGGGGAGCGAACGGGAUUAGAUACCCCCGUAGUCCCUGUCUCUUAUACC